GACGUAGGGCGCGAGCGUUGUCCGGAUUUAUUGGGCGUAAAGAGCUUGUAGGCGGUUUGUCGCGUCUGCUGUGAAAUUUCGGGGCUCAACCCCGAACUUGCAGUGGAUACGGGCAGACUAGAGGUAGGUAGGGGAGAAUGGAAUUCCCAGUGUAGCGGUGAAAUGCGCAGAUAUCGGGAGGAACACCGGUGGCGAAGGCGGUUCUCUGGGCCUUACCUGACGCUGAGGAGCGAAAGCGUGGGGAGCGAACAGG
rnacentral:rRNA from 1 species